UACGUAGGGUCCGAGCGUUGUCCGGAGUUACUGGGCGUAAAGCGCGCGCAGGCGGCGGUGCUGGCCCGGCGUGAAAGCCCCCCGGCUCAACCGGGGAGGGUCGUCGGGGACCGCAGCCGCUUGAGGGCGGUAGGGGCUGGUGGAAUGCCUGGUGUAGUGGUGAAAUGCGUAGAGAUCAGGCGGAACACCCGUGGCGAAGGCGGCCAGCUGGGCCGUCCCUGACGCUGAGGCGCGAAAGCUAGGGGAGC
rnacentral:rRNA from 1 species